AAGAUGUAACGGGGCUAAACCAUGCACCGAAGCUGCGGCAGCGACACUGUGUGUUGUUGGGUAGGGGAGCGUUCUGUAAGCCUGUGAAGGUGUGUCGUGAGGCAUGCUGGAGGUAUCAGAAGUGCGAAUGCUGACAUAAGUAACGAUAAAGCGGGUGAAAAGCCCGCUCGCCGGAAGACCAAGGGUUCCUGUCCAACGUUAAUCGGGGCAGGGUGAGUCGACCCCUAAGGCGAGGCCGAAAGGCGUAGUCGAUGGGAAACGGGUUAAUAUUCCCGUACUUGGUGUUACUGCGAAGGGGGGACGGAGAAGGCUAUGUUGGCCGGGCGACGGUUGUCCCGGUUUAAGCGUGUAGGUGUGUGUUCCAGGUAAAUCCGGUUCACUUUAACACUGAGGCGUGACGACGAGGCACUACGGUGCUGAAGCAACAAAUGCCCUGCUUCCAGGAAAAGCCUCUAAGCAUCAGGUAACAUCAAAUCGUACCCCAAACCGACACAGGUGGUCAGGUAGAGAAUACCAAGGCGCUUGAGAGAACUCGGGUGAAGGAACUAGGCAAAAUGGUGCCGUAACUUCGGGAGAAGGCACGCUGACACGUAGGUGAAGUGAUUUACUCAUGGAGCUGAAGUCAGUCGAAGAUACCAGCUGGCUGCAACUGUUUAUUAAAAACACAGCACUGUGCAAACACGAAAGUGGACGUAUACGGUGUGACGCCUGCCCGGUGCCGGAAGGUUAAUUGAUGGGGUCAGCGCAAGCGAAGCUCCUGAUCGAAGCCCCGGUAAACGGCGGCCGUAACUAUAACGGUCCUAAGGUAGCGAAAUUCCUUGUCGGGUAAGUUCCGACCUGCACGAAUGGCGUAAUGAUGGCCAGGCUGUCUCCACCCGAGACUCAGUGAAAUUGAACUCGCUGUGAAGAUGCAGUGUACCCGCGGCAAGACGGAAAGACCCCGUGAACCUUUACUAUAGCUUGACACUGAACAUUGAGCCUUGAUGUGUAGGAUAGGUGGGAGGCUUUGAAGUGUGGACGCCAGUCUGCAUGGAGCCGACCUUGAAAUACCACCCUUUAAUGUUUGAUGUUCUAACGUGGACCCGUUACCCGGGUUGCGGACAGUGUCUGGUGGGUAGUUUGACUGGGGCGGUCUCCUCCUAAAGAGUAACGGAGGAGCACGAAGGUUGGCUAAUCCUGGUCGGACAUCAGGAGGUUAGUGCAAUGGCAUAAGCCAGCUUGACUGCGAGCGUGACGGCGCGAGCAGGUGCGAAAGCAGGUCAUAGUGAUCCGGUGGUUCUGAAUGGAAGGGCCAUCGCUCAACGGAUAAAAGGUACUCCGGGGAUAACAGGCUGAUACCGCCCAAGAGUUCAUAUCGACGGCGGUGUUUGGCACCUCGAUGUCGGCUCAUCACAUCCUGGGGCUGAAGUAGGUCCCAAGGGUAUGGCUGUUCGCCAUUUAAAGUGGUACGCGAGCUGGGUUUAGAACGUCGUGAGACAGUUCGGUCCCUAUCUGCCGUGGGCGCUGGAGAACUGAGGGGGGCUGCUCCUAGUACGAGAGGACCGGAGUGGACGCAUCACUGGUGUUCGGGUUGUCAUGCCAAUGGCACUGCCCGGUAGCUAAAUGCGGAAGAGAUAAGUGCUGAAAGCAUCUAAGCACGAAACUUGCCCCGA
rnacentral:rRNA from 2 species